rnacentral:rRNA from 1 species
CUCAACACGGGAAAACUUACCAGGUCCGAACAUAAGUGUGUAAGACAGAUUGAUAGCUCUUUCUCGAAUCUAUGGGUGGUGGUGCAUGGCCGUUCUUAGUUCGUGGAGUGAUUUGUCUGGUUAAUUCCGAUAACGAACGAGACUCAAAUAUAUUAAAUAGAUGCUUUCAGGAUUAUGGUGUUGAAGCUUAUAUAGCCUUCAUUCAUGAAUGCAGUAAAAUGUAUAAGUGUUUGAAUGUGUUUAUAUAAGUGGAGCCGUACCUGUUGGUUUGUCCCAUUAUAAGGACACUAG